rnacentral:rRNA from 1 species
CAGUGAACCUAUACCUAUCCUGUUGCCUCGGCGCUGUCACGCCUCGGCGCCCUCGCGGCCCGGACCCAGGGAGCCGCCCGCCGGAGACCCCAAACCCUCUGCUUUAGUGGUUUUCUCCUGAGUAAGAAACUUAAUGAAUCAAAACUUUCAACAACGGAUCUCUUGGUUCUGGCAUCGAUGAAGAACGCAGCGAAAUGCGAUAAGUAAUGUGAAUUGCAGAAUUCAGUGAAUCAUCGAAUCUUUGAACGCACAUUGCGCCCUCUGGUAUUCCGGAGGGCAUGCCUGUUCGAGCGUCAUUUCAACCCUCAAGCCUGCCCAGUAGUGCCUGGCCCGCCUUUAUCGGCGCGGCGUCCCUCCGGGGGCGCUGCCGGCCCCGAAAUUCGCCGAGCGUAGUUUGUAGCCCUCCUCCGCGAAGGCCCUGGCGGUGCCCUGCCGUUAAACCCCCAACUUCUGAAAUUUUGACCUCGGAUCAGGUAGGAAUACCCGCUGAACUUAAGCAUAUCAAUAAGCGGAGGAA